rnacentral:lncRNA from 1 species
UUAGAACUCAAGUUGAAUCAUCUGUGAAUAGAGCACACACUAUUAUCUUUCUUAGACCAAAGAAUGUCAACUCUGAAGAAGUCUGGGUUAAAUUUGUUGAGGAUACUCUUUCUGCUGAUAUUCAUGUAAAUAUAUUUGCAUGUAAAGCUUAACCCUUAUUUUAAUUAUUGUUGUUUUAUACUUCGUUCUUUUUUCAAUAGGAGAGAAGUUCUAGGUUCAGCAACAUGCGAACUAAUCAGAAGCUUCUCCAUACUAUGGGUAGAAAGGGUUAUCCACGUGUGGCUUAUGAAAUGGUACUUCUUACGAACAUAUCAUGUCUUUUUACUUGAAUUGUCCAAUUUCAAUAUAUUUGAUUACUAAAUUUGUACUGCAGAAGAAAAAGAAUCCACAUUUAAAAGGGUUAAGAACGGAAGUAUGGAAAUAUGGACAUCUCAGAAAAGAUGGAAAAUGAAUUAAUGAAGCAGUUGCCGAAACAUUGGUAUGUGUAUUAUACUAAUGUUCAAUUAAGCAUAAUUUGAUUUAUUAGUUGUAUCACUUGCUACUAUUUGAUUUGAGUUUCAUAAGUGCAGAAAAAGAUUGAAGAUUGUGCCACAUCAAUUUCUGAUACGACUACCAAAGAUUCCAUCUGUGAUGAUGCUAUAGCUCGAGUUUUUGGUCCCGAACGUCAUGGGAGAGUUAGGGGACUCGGAUUUGGAGUUGUACCAUCAAAAGUGAAUGGACAAAUACAAAGCAGUGGGAGAGUUAGAGAACUUAAAAGCCAAGUACAGAUUCAGACACAAAGGAUGGAGGCAUUAGAAGAAAAAAUGGAAGCAUUUAUCAGGUUUUCUCAGCAGGUUAUAAGUAGUUACUUUUUAUACAUUUUAUGAUUAUAUAGCUUUAUAUAGCCAAUUACAUAAAUAAUAGCUUUUGUAAUUUUUGUAUUAUUAUACAAAAUGUGGAGGAUAAGAAUUCAAAUGCUUUUACUCAAGUUUCCAUUUCCUAUAUUAUUAAAUGUUUAUUUAAUAUUUAUUCAAUUUGUAGCAUUCUAAUUUUAAAAAGAACACUUUCUGUUUAUUAUGAAUUUGUAGUCACACCAAGGAAGUGGUGUCCAAGGAAGUACUACCCCCAAGAUGUCAACUGUUGCAUUGGUACAUGUUUGAGGAGGAAAAAGUAGUAGCAGAAGGGAAGAUUGUCACAACAGAUCCAAGUGCAAAGGUGCAUCACUUGCCACUCGAUCAAGACUAUUGGAAGGUUUGGGUUGAGGAAGUCUACAUGGGUAAUUUGACCCUAUACAGACCCACAAAUGAAUUCCGCACUCUUAGUGAAGUCAUGGGAAGUACUGUUACUUGGUCAAAGAGUAGUAUUAGACUUCUUGAUUAAGGUAUUAGACUCUUAGUGGCAAUGGUAUUGAUCAAGUAACAUGCAACGAUUUCAAGUUUAAGUUUCGAUUUUUGUAGUUUCCUAAUUACAUUUUGGUAGUACAUGUUUGGAGACUCUUAAUUUUAUUUUGGAAGAGAUUAUGUGUUGAAUAUUUUACAAAUUUAAUGAGUAAUGUGUUUGUUAGUUUAUUAUUUU